UACGGGGGGAGCAAGCGUUGUUCGGAUUUACUGGGCGUAAAGGGCGCGUAGGCGGCGUGACAAGUCACUUGUGAAAUCUCCGGGCUUAACUCGGAACGGUCAAGUGAUACUGUCGUGCUAGAGUACAGAAGGGGCAACUGGAAUUCUCGGUGUAGCGGUGAAAUGCGUAGAUAUCGAGAGGAACACCUGCGGUGAAGGCGGGUUGCUGGGCUGAUACUGACGCUGAGGCGCGAAAGCCAGGGGAGCGAACGGG
rnacentral:rRNA from 1 species